GUGGGGAAUCUUGCGCAAUGGGCGAAAGCCUGACGCAGCCAUGUCGCGUGAAUGAUGAAGGUCUUAGGAUUGUAAAAUUCUUUCACCGGGGACGAUAAUGACGGUACCCGGAGAAGAAGCCCCGGCUAACUUCGUGCCAGCAGCCGCGGUAAUACGAAGGGGGCUAGCGUUGCUCGGAAUUACUGGGCGUAAAGGGCGCGUAGGCGGCCAGUUUAGUCAGAGGUGAAAGCCCAGGGCUCAACCUUGGAAUUGCAUUUGAUACUGGCUGUCUUGAGUACGGGAGAGGUGAGUGGAACUCCGAGUGUAGAGGUGAAAUUCGUAGAUAUUCGGAAGAACACCAGUGGCGAAGGCGACUCACUGGCCCGUUACUGACGCUGAGGCGCGAAAGCGUGGGGAGCAAACAGGAUUAGAUACCCGAGUAGUCC
rnacentral:rRNA from 1 species